rnacentral:rRNA from 1 species
UACGAAGGGGCUAGCGUUGCUCGGAAUCACUGGGCGUAAAGCGCACGUAGGCGGAUCUUUAAGUCAGAGGUGAAAUCCCAAGGCUCAACCUUGGAACUGCCUUUGAUACUGGGGAUCUUGAGUCCGGGAGAGGUGAGUGGAACUGCGAGUGUAAGAGGUGAAAUUCGUAGAUAUUCGCAAGAACACCAGUGGCGAAGGCGGCUCACUGGCCCGGUACUGACGCUGAGGUGACGAAAGCGUGGGGAGCAAACAGG